rnacentral:rRNA from 1 species
ACUGCUCAGUAACACGUAGUCAAUCUACCCUAUGGACGGGAAUAACCUCGGGAAACUGAGAAUAAUGCCCGAUAGAACACUAUGCCUGGAAUGGUUUGUGUUCCAAAUGAUUUAUCGCCGUAGGAUGGGACUGCGGCCUAUCAGUUUGUUGGUGAGGUAAUGGCCCACCAAGACUAUUACAGGUACGGGCUCUGAGAGGAGUGGCCCGGAGAUGGGUACUGAGACACGGACCCAGGCCCUAUGGGGCGCAGCAGGCGAGAAAACUUUGCAAUGUGCGAAAGCACGACAAGGUUAAUCCGAGUGGUUUCUGCUAAAGAAACCUUUUGUUAGUCCUAGAAACACUGAUGAAUAAGGGGUGGGCAAGUUCUGGUGUCAGCCGCCGCGGUAAAACCAGCACCUCAAGUGGUCAGGAGGAUUAUUGGGCCUAAAGCAUCCGUAGCCUGCUUUGUAAGUUUUCGGUUAAAUCCAUGUGCUCAACAUAUGGGCUGCCGGGAAUACUGCACAGCUAGGGAGUGGGAGAGGUAGACGGUACUCGGUAGGAAGGGGUAAAAUCCUUUGAUCUAUUGAUGACCACCUGUGGCGAAGGCGGUCUACCAGAACACGUCCGACGGUGAGGGAUGAAAGCUGGGGGAGCGAACCGGAUUAGAUACCCGGGUAGUCCCAGCUGUAAACUAUGCAAACUCAGUGAUGCAUUGGCUUGUAGCCAGUGCAGUGCCGCAGGGAAGCCGUUAAGUUUGCCGCCUGGGAAGUACGUACGCAAGUAUGAAACUUAAAGGAAUUGGCGGGGGAGCAC